GACGAACGCUGGCGGCGUGCUUAACACAUGCAAGUCGAACGGAAAGGCCCUGCUUUUGUGGGGUGCUCGAGUGGCGAACGGGUGAGUAACACGUGAGUAACCUGCCCUUGACUUUGGGAUAACUUCAGGAAACUGGGGCUAAUACCGGAUAGGAGCUCCUGCUGCAUGGUGGGGGUUGGAAAGUUUCGGCGGUUGGGGAUGGACUCGCGGCUUAUCAGCUUGUUGGUGGGGUAGUGGCUUACCAAGGCUUUGACGGGUAGCCGGCCUGAGAGGGUGACCGGCCACAUUGGGACUGAGAUACGGCCCAGACUCCUACGGGAGGCAGCAGUGGGGAAUAUUGCACAAUGGGCGGAAGCCUGAUGCAGCAACGCCGCGUGCGGGAUGACGGCCUUCGGGUUGUAAACCGCUUUCGCCUGUGACGAAGCGUGAGUGACGGUAAUGGGUAAAGAAGCACCGGCUAACUACGUGCCAGCAGCCGCGGUGAUACGUAGGGUGCGAGCGUUGUCCGGAUUUAUUGGGCGUAAAGGGCUCGUAGGUGGUUGAUCGCGUCGGAAGUGUAAUCUUGGGGCUUAACCCUGAGCGUGCUUUCGAUACGGGUUGACUUGAGGAAGGUAGGGGAGAAUGGAAUUCCUGGUGGAGCGGUGGAAUGCGCAGACAUCAGGAGGAACACCAGUGGCGAAGGCGGUUCUCUGGGCCUUUCCUGACGCUGAGGAGCGAAAGCGUGGGGAGCGAACAGGCUUAGAUACCCUGGUAGUCCACGCUGUAAACGGUGGGUACUAGGUGUGGGGUCCAUUCCACGGGUUCCGUGCCGUAGCUAACGCUUUAAGUACCCCGCCUGGGGAGUACGGCCGCAAGGCUAAAGCUCAAAGGAAUUGACGGGGCCCCGCACAAGCGGCGGAGCAUGCGGAUUAAUUCGAUGCAACGCGUAGAAUCUUACCUGGGUUUGACAUGGAUCGGGAGCGCUCAGAGAUGGGUGUGCCUCUUUUGGGGUCGGUUCACAGGUGGUGCAUGGCUGUCGUCAGCUCGUGUCGUGAGAUGUUGGGUUAAGUCCCGCAACGAGCGCAACCCUUGUUCACUGUUGCCAGCACGUUAUGGUGGGGACUCAGUGGAGACCGCCGGGGUCAACUCGGAGGAAGGUGGGGAUGACGUCAAGUCAUCAUGCCCCUUAUGUCCAGGGCUUCACGCAUACUACAAUGGCUGGUACAGAGAGUGGCGAGCCUGUGAGGGUGAGCGAAUCUCGGAAAGCCGGUCUCAGUUCGGAUUGGGGUCUGCAACUCGACCUCAUGAAGUCGGAGUCGCUAGUAAUCGCAGAUCAGCAACGCUGCGGUGAAUACGUUCCCGGG
rnacentral:rRNA from 1 species